GCCGCUCGAUACUUUGCACACCUCUACGCGGUGGGCGGCAGACAACACAGCAUGGAUGCUGUGGCGAAGAUGCAGAG
rnacentral:ribozyme from 1 species